rnacentral:rRNA from 1 species
GGGUCAGUAGGUUGGUCGUGCCACCGGUACGUACUGGCUUUACUGAUUCCUCCUUCCUGAAGAACCGUAAUGCCAUUAAUUUGGUGUUGCGGGGAAACAGGACUGUUACUUUGAAAAAAUUAGAGUGUUUAAAGCAAGCUAACGCUUGAAUACAUUAGCAUGGAAUAAUGAAAUAGGACGAUCGAUCCUAUUUUGUUGGUUUCUAGGAUUGACGUA